GGGGGCGUCCGGUCUCGACGGGGCAAGUGGGCUUUGGGAUUGCGAGCCGAAGGCGUGAGCGAUACAGCGCAGGCAACACAAAUGCCAAUAAUGAGCGACAGCUCGCCCUCGCUGCGUAAGCAGUAGAUGACGAGUUCCCGGGACGUAGGAGCCCGGGCAUCGCCCCCGGCGGCGCCGGCCGGUCGGGGUAACGGUGUCACAUUUGCCGGCUUGCUCGGGCGGGGGCGCGACGGCCCCGCUCAGGGACUUUCACCGGCGCUGGCCGUCAGGGAUCCUGCCGAGAGGAGCCCUGCGGUGAGAGCAAAAUCCCGGCUACGCUCGUAGAGAUCCCAGGGGACGCUGCUUCGGACGCGGGUUCAACUCCCGCCGCCUCCACCA
rnacentral:tmRNA from 1 species